UUUUAACGAGAGUUUGAUCCUGGCUCAGGAUGAACGCUGGCGGCGUGCUUAACACAUGCAAGUCGAACGAAGCGCUUGAAUGGAAUUUUUCGGAAGGAAGCUCAAGUGACUGAGUGGCGGACGGGUGAGUAACGCGUGGGUAACCUACCUCAUACAGGGGGAUAACAGUUAGAAAUGACUGCUAAUACCGCAUAAGCACACGUGAU
rnacentral:rRNA from 1 species